GCAAAAAUAAGUGAACUGGGGAGACAGGGCUUACAGUCCAACCUAGUCAAAAAUAGUCAAGUUAGAGGUACUUGGCUGUAGUCACACAGCUGGAAAAAUGGAGGAAAACGGGCAAACCUUGUUCUUUCUGACUAGAAAUUCUAUUUUUUCAGGCCUCUUGGUGCAGACGUUUCAGUGGUUGCUGUAUGUAUGAUGUUAUGCAUACAUCACUUGUCCCGCCUGCUGUGUGGACUUUACUCUCCCAUUUCCAUAACUUUUCCUCUACUUACUUUAAGCACCACAUUAGACAGUGUUAUACCUGUUGCUUCAGUCAUUAAACACCAUAUAGAAAACUUGAGAAGAAAAAAAGCCUAUUUACCCACAUUUUUACUCUUUCAAUUGCUCUCUCUUCUUCCUGGUAUUCCAAGAGUCCUUUUAUCAUUUUGAGUAGGAAAAGCCCAGCCCUUCGUGUCUCUCACUGUACCUCACUCACACUUCUGACACCAGAUGUGGGGGGUUGACUGACCUCCACGAAGCAGUUAUCUCCAAUACCAGCUGAGUGUCCUACAGUUAACUCAGUUCUGACACUGUUUGCCUGGAGAUGGCGUCAGAUCCCACCAGUUUAGGCUCAUUGCCACAACACUGCCUCCCCAACUUCAGAUGCCAGUCUUACUUGUUGCCACCCGUGUUUCUGAUUGGCUGUAAAUCAUGCUCCCAUGAACCCCUUCACUAGGUUCCAUUAAUUUGCUAGAGCAGCUCACAGAGCUGAGGAACUUAUAUUUACAGUUUGUGUAAAAGGAUGUGAUGAAGGAUACGGUGGAUAUCCAGAUGGAAGAGGCGUGUGCCAGGGGCACAGAGCUUCCACACCCUGUCUGGGUGCUGCUCUCCCCGCACCUCCACGUGUGCACCAAUUCAGAAGCUGCCCGAACUCCAUAUUUGGGACUUUAUGGAGCUCAUUCACAGAGACGUGAUCCAUCACUAACUCCAUUUCCAGCCCCUCCCCUCUCUGGAGAAUCAGGGACGGGGCUGAAAAUCCCAAGCUUCUAAUCACGGUUGGUCUUUCUGGUGACCAGCCCCCAUCCGGGAGCCACCCAGUGUCACCUCACUAGAACAAAAGACACUGCUGUCACCCAGGAAAUUAUAGGUUUUUCAGAAGCCCUGUGCCCUGGCCAGGGCAGAGACCAAUCUGUAUUUUCUAUUAUCUCACGUUUCCUUCCUGCCUCAAGAACUUCUUUGCUAUUCUUUUAGGACAUGUCUACUGGCAACAACAAGUUUUCCUUUAUCUGAGAUGUCUUCUCUCUCAUUCCUAAAGAAUAAUUUCACUGGAUAGAGAAUUCAAGUUCUUUUUUGGCAACACUCAAGAAAUGUGCCACUUCCCUCUGGCCUCCACGGUUUCUGGUGACAAAUCUGCUUUCAUUUGACUUGUUUUCUCCUUACAGACAAGGCAUUGUUUUUCUCUCUGCUUUCAAGAAUUUUUCUGUGUUUGGCUUUCUGAAGUCUGAUGACACUAUUCGUAUGUCUCGGUUUGCAUUUCUUUCCAUUUAUUCUGUUUGGGGUUUGCUCAGCUUCUUGAAUCCUGUUUAUCUCUUUUGCCAAACUUGGGAAAUUUUCUCCCAUUAUUUCUCUUUAACCGGCAGUUUUUAGUAUAUUUCUAUUCCCAGAGUUAUGCAACCAUUACUACAAUCAAUUUAAGAAAUUGUAUUACCCUGGUAAGAAACUCUGUACCUGCUAACAGUCACUCCCAUUAUCCACUUCCUAGCCCCUGGUAACCACCGAUCUACCCUAUGGAUCUGCUGUUCUGGACAUUUCGUACAGGUGGAAUCAUGCAGCAUGGCCUUGGUGCCCGACUACUCAUGGAGCGUGACGCUUUCAAGAGUCAUCCAUGUGGUGGCAUGAGUACAGGCCCCCUACAGACAUAUAACUUGCAAAAGUUUUCUUCCAUUCUGUGAGGUAUGUUAUUUUUUAUUUCUUUGGAUAUGUUUUCACCCCCACCACAUCCUCCUCCUAGGAUGUCAAUGGCACAAAUAUUAGAUCUUUUGUCAUCGUCGCACACGACUCUGAGGCUCUGUUAAUUUCUUUCUUUUCUUUUUUUUUUAGCUGAGCCAUCCUGCCACCUGUUGGCAGCUCAGCUUGGGCCAGGAAUCGAACCGCUGUUUCUCAGAGCUCAAACUCGAGCGAGCUCUUAACCAACUGAGCCACUCCGCCGGCCUGGGGCUCUGUUAAUUUCUUCCUGGCCUGCUUGCUGUCUGUGGUUGAGACUGGGCCAUGUCUACUGCAUUAUCCCCAGAGCCACUGAGUCUCUCAUCUUUCCUCUCCAUUCAGUAUUUUUAUUUUGGCUGUUGUGUGUUUCAGUUCUAAACUUGUCAUUUUCUUCUUUUAUCUUCCAUUUAUUUGCUGAGAUUUUUUUUGUUUGUUUCCAGCAUGUUUGUAAUGGAGCAUAUUACAAACAAAUAUGUUUGUUUGGAGCAUAUUUAUGGCGGCUGCUUUAAAAUCUUUAUUGUAGGAUUCCGAUACCUGUGCCAUCUCCGUGUUGGCAUCCUUUGUCUUUUCACACUCAAGUUGAAAAUUUCAUGA